rnacentral:lncRNA from 1 species
UGGAAGAUCCCAUUCUCAUGCCAAAAUCAAAAUACAAACAGGAGUGACCAUUAAAUGGGGAAAAAAUAUAUAUAUUUGUGUUCUUUGCUUUCCUGCCUCCUAUUUCCUUCUAGACUCAUGUCUGUGUUAUCCUUUUGUCUUUGAACGCAUUUUACAGUGACAUUAUAUAUGAUUAUGUUAUAUCGAGCAAUCAAAAUGUCCUUUUUCUACUCAGUUCCUGUUUAUCCUUCGCACUUAAAAAUUCUGCCUUUUUCUGUUUGUUGUUUUGUUUUUGUUUUUCCCUCCUUAGGUGCUCAGGAACAGCCCAUGGAAGAAUUAUAUGAAGAGGUGGUGAUUAAGAUUAUAGAGCAGGAGUGGACAUGUUUGGAUUUCCAACAGCUACCCUGCUGGACUGUCAUGGAAGAUAUGCCCAGAAUGUAGCAUUUUUCAGUGAGUGAGUCCGCUGGUGGCUGGGAUGUCUUCUGAACACAGAUACUCAGAGUCCAUGUCCUCAGCACUGGUCCUCAGUCUGAGGAAGCAGAGGAGACGUUCCUUUGAUGGAGCUCACUAUUCCUAGGGGUUACAGAAAAAGCCUGCAAGCUAGAGGGCUAUGCUAGCCCUCGCAUGCAUAGAAAUAGUCAGAACAGAGCAAGAGAACAGUCUAGACAUGGAGGUAGACUCGAAGUAAUAUCAGAAUGAGUGAGCACCUUUAACUGUCAGCACUAUCACUGGAUAAGAAUAAAGCAGGAAAUAAGGAGAAAUUUUCCAUAGGGGAAAAAAAAAACAGUGAUGAAUGGAUCCAUAUUUAAAGCACAUAAGAGGCUCAGAUACAGGGCAGUAUUGGAAAAUAUUAUUGAUACCUACAUAUGAAGUUUGAGAAUAACUUCCAAACCAAAAUUUAUUUUAGUUCCACCAUAGCUUAAAUAAACUAAAAAUAGUAUAGAUUUUAAAGGAAGGAAUUUGUUAGAUUCUAUAAUUUCCUGACUAUAUUUUAAUAUCAGAUAAGUUACUUAACUUCCUUAAGCUCCAGGCCUUCAUCUGUAAAAUGGAACAAUGAGUUCUGACUUGUACAGUUGCAGGUAUUAAAGACAAUAGACGUAUAAAAUCUAGGAUUGUGCUACAUAUUUUCUAAGGUCAUAGCGCUUACUCCACUCUUAAGAGCAAACUUAAGGAAUAGGGUGGAAUUGGGUUGACUUUUCAUAGAACUAAUACAGCUUGUGUGUCCGGAGCCCUUGCUUGCAUUGGUCUCUUCAGGACCCUUUGCCCAAUUUUGUACUUUUUUUUAAAGGGGUACCUCUAAAGUUUUAAAGCUUUAGACCCUUUACAUCCUGGAACCACACCUGUUUAGGAAUCAGAUAAAGCUUGAGUACAGGGCUCUUGUGAGAUCCUGUAUGUUUUCCUUGAUUUUCAGAGCCUAUUUUCUUACCUACAAAAUAGAGGUAAUUGUGUCUACCUCACAAGAUUAUUUGGAAGACUAAAUUAAAUGUAGAGGCAAUACACAGCUAUGGAGUAUUCCAGUGUUUGAAACCCACCUCUAACUUAUUUAGCUACAUGGUCUUGACAACCUCCCUAUGCUCUCUUUUCCUGAUCUGUAGCAAUCCCAUAGGAUUAAAUUAUUCCAGGAUUAAAUUAUCUAUGCAAAGUUCAUAGUCUAAUGCCUGGCACUUAAUAAGCACUCAAACGAUUGUGUUUCUAUUUUCCAUAUUCUUCUCACUCAGCAUAUUGGUACCUCUUACAUGACUUCCCUCUCAUUUUAUCAGAUGUGAUGACAGAAGCUCACCACAAAUAUGAUCACUCUGAGGCCACAGGAUCCUCAAGCUGGGAUUUCCAGAAUUCUUUCAGAAGAGAGAAGCUGGAACAAAAAUCCCCAGAUUCUAAGACACUACCGGAAGAUUCACCUGGGGUGAGACAGAAGGUCUAUGAGUGCCAAGAAUGUGGAAAGUCCUUCAGGCAAAAAGGUAGUCUAACAUUACAUGAGAGAAUUCACACUGGUCAGAAGCCCUUUGAGUGUACCCAUUGUGGAAAAAGCUUCAGGGCCAAAGGCAAUCUUGUUACACAUCAGCGAAUACACACGGGAGAGAAGCCUUAUCAGUGCAAGGAGUGUGGGAAAAGCUUUAGUCAGCGUGGUAGUCUGGCCGUCCAUGAGAGACUCCACACUGGACAGAAACCCUAUGAGUGUGCCAUUUGUCAAAGAAGCUUCAGGAAUCAAAGUAACCUUGCUGUUCACCGAAGAGUUCACAGUGGUGAGAAGCCCUAUAGAUGUGAUCAGUGUGGAAAAGCUUUCAGUCAGAAAGGAAGCUUAAUUGUUCACAUUAGAGUCCACACAGGUCUAAAACCCUAUGCCUGUACCCAGUGCAGGAAGAGUUUCCACACCAGGGGGAAUUGUAUUCUGCAUGGCAAAAUCCACACAGGAGAGACACCCUAUCUGUGUGGUCAAUGUGGAAAAAGCUUCACUCAGAGAGGAAGUCUGGCUGUGCACCAGAGAAGCUGCUCACAAAGGCUCACCCUUUGACCAUUCUAUUCAAAGGAAGUUUUAUUUCUGAAUUAAGGGUACAAAACCCUCUGUUACUGAGCUGCAUAUCCAAUUCUAUGGAAUGAAUGGAGAACAUUCCAGGAAAACCAGUAGGUUAAACAAACUUUUUUCCUUAUCCUCAAAUGAGUAUGAAAAAUAAAUGUCUUGUUUAUCAUUAUCAUGCAUUUUUCAUAAUUUGUCAUGAAUUUUUCAUAUUUUGACUUAAUUUCCCAGGGUACCCUCAUUAAUCUAGAGUCAUACUAGAGAUUGAGUAUAGUAGAUACAGAUUUUAAAUUUGUAUUUGACACCAUCGGCCUUUAAAAAUAUCAGCCCCUAAUCAACCCCAAUGCUGGCAGCUGGAAGUGCACCCCAAGGUCAUUUUCUU